AUCGCUGGGAAACGUAGUCCCUGACCCAGCCCAGCCCUGCCCUGCCGUUCCUGUCCCGUCCAACCCAACCUAAACCGGUCCAGAGAACCCGGCUUUCUAGGACACAAGGGACAUGGAUGAGGUAAUUUGCAAAUGCUUUGCCUGCUACAAUCAGCGCGAAACCCGGGCGUAGGCACGGGCCUGCAGAUGACAUGGUGAGAUUCCCGGACCUCCAGCCAUAAUCCCCGCUUCGCUACCCCAGCCCGAGUUCACGCAGAUCGCCAAGCGCCUCGCUCAAGGAGCACCGUCGGCGAGCCGGAGAAGCCAACUCUCGCAGCAGACUACAAGUCCCAGGAGCCUCGGCUGAUGCCCGGGCCCUUGCCAGCUCCGAGACAUGCAAAAGAGCCCAGGGCCGGAGCCGCGCGGGCUCUGAGUUGAUUUGCUCUGGGUAACCGGAGUCAUUUGCCUAAGAAAUGAACGUUUGCAAAACAAAACAAAACAAAAAAGUUUGUGCCCUUGGA